rnacentral:tRNA from 1 species
GCCUCAGUGGCGGAAUGGUAGACGCAAGGGACUUAAAAUCCCUCGGUCGCAAGACCGUGCUGGUUCAAGUCCAGUCUUGGGCGCCA